rnacentral:rRNA from 1 species
AUUCCAGCUCCAGUAGCGUAUAUUAAAGUUGUUGCAGUUAAAAAGCUCGUAGUUGGAUUUCUGGCGUGGUGCGCCCGGCCCGAUACCGCUAAGGUGUCGAGUGCCGGCGCGCGCCUGCCAUCCUUCCGGAGAGCGUGCCUACCCUUCACUGGGCCGGGUACGCGAUCUGGAUCGUUUACUUUGAAAAAAUUAGAGUGUUUAAAGCAGGCUUACGCUUCUGAAUACAUUAGCAUGGAAUAAUAAGAUAGGACUUUGGUUCUAUUUUGUUGGUUUCUAGAACUAAAGUAAUGAUUGAUAGGGACAGUUGGGGGUGCUAGUAUUUAACGGCCAGAGGUGAAAUUCUUGGAUUCGUUAAAGACUAACUAAUGCGAAAGCAUUCACCAAGGAUGUCUUCAUUA